rnacentral:tRNA from 1 species
UUAGAAGAAAGUGACAGAGUGGUUAUGUGGGCUUUCUUGAACCAGCAUAUGGGGGUUCAAUACCUCCCUUUCUCG